UACGUAGGGUGCAAGCGUUGUCCGGAAUUAUUGGGCGUAAAGAGCUCGUAGGCGGUCUGUCGCGUCGGCUGUGAAAACCCGGGGCUCAACCCCGGGCCUGCAGUCGAUACGGGCAGACUAGAGUGCGGUAGGGGAGAGUGGAAUUCCCGGUGUAGCGGUGAAAUGCGCAGAUAUCGGGAAGAACACCCGUGGCGAAGGCGGCUCUCUAGUACGGUACUGACGCUGAGACGCGAAAGCGUGGGGAGCGAACAGG
rnacentral:rRNA from 1 species